CUUGUUAACGCUGAGGCGUGACGACGAGGCACUACGGUGCUGAAGUGAUAAAUGCCCAGCUUCCAGGAAAAGCCUCUAAGCAUCAGGUAACACAGAAUCGUACCCCAAACCGACACAGGUGGUCAGGUAGAGAAUACCAAGGCGCUUGAGAGAACUCGGGUGAAGGAACUAGGCAAAAUGGUGCCGUAACUUCGGGAGAAGGCACGCUGGCGCGUAGGUGGAGGGACUUGCUCCCCGAGCCGAAGCCAGUCGAAGAUACCAGCUGGCUGCAACUGUUUAUUAAAAACACAGCACUGUGCAAACACGAAAGUGGACGUAUACGGUGUGACGCCUGCCCGGUGCCGGAAGGUUAAUUGAUGGGGUUAUCCGCAAGGAGAAGCUCUUGAUCGAAGCCCCGGUAAACGGCGGCCGUAACUAUAACGGUCCUAAGGUAGCGAAAUUCCUUGUCGGGUAAGUUCCGACCUGCACGAAUGGCGUAAUGAUGGCCAGGCUGUCUCCACCCGAGACUCAGUGAAAUUGAACUCGCUGUGAAGAUGCAGUGUACCCGCGGCAAGACGGAAAGACCCCGUGAACCUUUACUACAGCUUGACACUGAACAUUGAGCCUUGAUGUGUAGGAUAGGUGGGAGGCUUUGAAGCGCGGACGCCAGUCUGCGUGGAGCCAACCUUGAAAUACCACCCUUUAAUGUUUGAUGUUCUAACGUAGGCCCGUAAUCCGGGCUGCGGACAGUGUCUGGUGGGUAGUUUGACUGGGGCGGUCUCCUCCUAAAGAGUAACGGAGGAGCACGAAGGUCAGCUAAUCACGGUCGGACAUCGUGAGGUUAGUGCAAUGGCAUAAGCUGGCUUGACUGCGAGAGUGACGGCUCGAGCAGGUGCGAAAGCAGGUCAUAGUGAUCCGGUGGUUCUGAAUGGAAGGGCCAUCGCUCAACGGAUAAAAGGUACUCCGGGGAUAACAGGCUGAUACCGCCCAAGAGUUCAUAUCGACGGCGGUGUUUGGCACCUCGAUGUCGGCUCAUCACAUCCUGGGGCUGAAGUAGGUCCCAAGGGUACGGCUGUUCGCCGUUUAAAGUGGUACGCGAGCUGGGUUUAGAACGUCGUGAGACAGUUCGGUCCCUAUCUGCCGUGGGCGCUGGAGAAUUGAGGGGGGUUGCUCCUAGUACGAGAGGACCGGAGUGAACGCACCACUGGUGUUCGGGUUGUCAUGCCAAUGGCAUUGCCCGGUAGCUAAGUGCGGAAAAGAUAAGUGCUGAAAGCAUCUAAGCACGAAACUUGCCCCGAGAUGAGUUCUCCCUGACUCCUUGAGAGUCCUGAAGGGACGUUGAAGACUACGACGUUGAUAGGCCGGGUGUGUAAGCGCAGCGAUGCGUUGAGCUAACCGGUACUAAUGACCCGUGAGGCUUAACCUU
rnacentral:rRNA from 1 species